UAGGUAAUAGUUAAAAUCUUUAAAAUUAAAAAAUUUGGCGGUAUUUUAGUCCUUUCAGAGGAACCUGUCCUAUAAUUGAUAGUCCACGAUUAGUAUUACUUAUAUUAAAAAUUUGUAUAUCGUUGUAGUUGAAUAUUUCUUAAGAAUAAAAAUGUUCAUUAUAUUUAAUAAAAAUUUUAAAUCAAAUCAAGGUGCAGUUUAUAUAUAAGAAGAGAUGGGUUACAAAAUUUAUAUAUGUGAAUUUUUAAUUUAAAAUUAAAUUGAAAAUGGAUUUGAAAGUAAUUUUCUAAAUUUAUGGAAAAUGAUU
rnacentral:rRNA from 1 species